rnacentral:ncRNA from 1 species
CCAGAAUCUGAUUCAGGUUCCCGGACGAUGGUCAAGUACCCGGACAGUGACAAGACUUGCCGAA